GAAAAUUAAGUCUAUAACAAGUUAUAAAACCUUUUAACUCAGAAAUGCUAGCUUUCUAGAACUGUUGCACUUAGUUGACAAUAACAACUCCUCAUAUUUCUAUAACAUUUAUAACUUACACAGCACUGAACAGAAUCUUAGUUAAUCCUUUUAACAACCCAAUUAUGUAUCAUUGCCCCAAAACAGAAACGCUGACUUGUUCAAGACCUCUGGCACAUGACUAAAAAUGAACACAACUUUAAUCUCAACCUAGGUCUUUAGAUUUAAGGUUUUCCUUUAAAACACGCAACCCUUGAGAAUAAAAUUAAGCCCAAUGCCUCCUGGUGUGGGUGUAGCCACAUUGCUUUACUUCCACAAACAUGUUGACCACGCUACCAUGGCCUACUAUGUGGCAGGUGUGGGGCUUCCAGAGGCCCAGAUCUAACCAGCUCUGGGCCUAAAUAUAGGUCCCAGGCUAAGACUUGGCUCCUGACUAAUGGGGGCAAUGCAGCUGUCAGGCUUGGGUAUGCAGAGGUGACUGAUCAUCAUACCCUGGCCUCUUCUGCCACCCAGCAUCAUACCUGAUAUGUCAAUAUUCUGGAUAGUUUUCAAUUUCCAUUCUCUACCAUUCUGGUUUAAAAUUCUAAUUAUCUUCAUCCUUUUCCUGUGUGUCUUCCAUCUCCCACCAGAUACCAAUGUGACUGAUGCCUAAAAUCAGAUCACUGUUCCCAGGAUACCACAUUACCUAAAUUUCCUUAUUUGUUCCUUACAACAACCCUCUUCAGAAGACAUGAGGCAAUGUCUACCAAAAUACUUUGUAAACUGCAACUCUCUGUGAAUACAAGGUACUGAUACUGUUAAUUGAAGCUAUACCCUGUAUUUUUU
rnacentral:lncRNA from 1 species